UACGAAGGGGGGCUAGCGUUGCUCGGAAUCACUGGGCGUAAAGGGCGCGUAGGCGGCCAUUCAAGUCGGGGGGUGAAAGCCUGUGGCUCAACCACAGAAUUGCCUUCGAUACUGUUUGGCUUGAGUUUGGUAGAGGUUGGUGGAACUGCGAGUGUAGAGGUGAAAUUCGUAGAUAUUCGCAAGAACACCAGUGGCGAAGGCGGCCAACUGGACCAAUACUGACGCUGAGGCGCGAAAAGCGUGGGGGAGCAAACAGGGAUU
rnacentral:rRNA from 1 species